rnacentral:rRNA from 1 species
AUUGAACGCUGGCGGCAUGCCUUACACAUGCAAGUCGAACGGUAACAGGUUAAGCUGAUGAGUGGCGAACGGGUGAGUAAUAUAUCGGAACGUGCCCAGUCGUGGGGGAUAACGUAGCGAAAGCUACGCUAAUACCGCAUACGAUCUACGGAUGAAAGCGGGGGAUCGCAAGACCUCGCGCGAUUGGAGCGGCCGAUAUCAGAUUAGGUUGUUGGUGAGGUAAAAGCUCACCAAGCCUGCGAUCUGUAGCUGGUCUGAGAGGACGACCAGCCACACUGGAACUGAGACACGGUCCAGACUCCUACGGGAGGCAGCAGUGGGGAAUUUUGGACAAUGGACGCAAGUCUGAUCCAGCAAUGCCGCGUGCAGGACGAAGGCCUUCGGGUUGUAAAUUGCUUUUGUACGGAACGAAACGGUGAGCUCUAAUACAGUUUGCUAAUGACGGUACCGUAAGAAUAAGCACCGGCUAACUACGUGCCAGCCGCUGCCGUAA